AUUCUGAUAUUAUGCUGCUGGCUAGAAACAAUAGCUUAUUUUUCCCUCAACAACUAGUAAAGUUCAUUUUAUAAAACACAAAAGCUAGAAGAAAUGGAAAACUGCAGAUGAUUCUACCAGCCAGGGCUCAUCAUGGAUUCGGAAACUUCAGAUACGAAAUAUCCCGCCUCAUUUACAGUGGGAGGUGCUGGAUAGUUUACUAGUCCAGUAUGGAGUGGUGGAGAGCUGUGAGCAAGUGAACACUGACUCGGAAACUGCAGUUGUAAAUGUAACCUAUUCCAGUAAGGACCAAGCUAGACAAGCACUAGACAAACUGAAUGGAUUUCAGUUAGAGAAUUUCACCUUGAAAGUAGCCUAUAUCCCUGAUGAAAUGGCCGCCCAGCAAAACCCCUUGCAGCAGCCCCGAGGUCGCCGGGGGCUUGGGCAGAGGGGCUCAUCAAGGC
rnacentral:sRNA from 1 species